rnacentral:rRNA from 1 species
UUGAACGCUGGCGGCAUGCCUUACACAUGCAAGUCGAACGGUAGAGGGGCAACCCUUGAGAGUGGCGAACGGGUGAGUAAUAUAUCGGAACGUGCCCAGUCGUGGGGGAUAACGCAGCGAAAGCUGCGCUAAUACCGCAUACGAUCUAAGGAUGAAAGCGGGGGAUCGCAAGACCUCGCGCGAUUGGAGCGGCCGAUAUCAGAUUAGGUAGUUGGUGGGGUAAAAG